AAUGAACGUUGGCGGCAUGGAUUAGGCAUGCAAGUCGGGGGAAUCCCAGCAAUGGGGGAACCGGCGUAAGGGGCAGUAAGGCAUGGGUACCUACCUUGGGGUUCGGGAUAGCCAUCAGAGAUGGUGGGUAAUACCGGAUGACGUCGUGAGACCAAAGAUUUAUCGCCCUUAGAGGGGCCCAUGUGAUAUUAGCUAGUUGGUGGGGUAACGGCCCACCAAGGCGAAGAUGUCUAGCGGGUGUGAGAGCACGACCCGCGCCACUCGCACUGAGACACUGGCGAGACACCUACGGGUGGCUGCAGUCGAGGAUCUUCGGCAAUGAGCGCAAGCUUGACCGAGCGAUGCCGCGUGAGCGAUGAAGGCCUUCGGGUUGUAAAGCUCUUUAGUGGGGGAGAAAAGCCGCAAGGUGUGAUCUAUCCCAAAAAUAAGCACGGGCUAAGUUCGUGCCAGCAGCCGCCGCAG
rnacentral:rRNA from 1 species